GGAAGGUGCAGGGUGGAGUUUGUUUUUUGUCAAAAUGAGAUCUGCUGAGUUGACUGUUUACACUUAUGUAUCUGAAAUUCCAAAAUGUUUUUGAGAGGCAAACUAUUAAUGACUGAAUCCUUUUCAGUUAUACUAGACUGUUUUCCUCCCCCUUCCCCCCUUUUCUUCUAGGUUGAUUUAUAUCAGUUACAAGUAAACACACUUCGAAGGUACAAAAGACACUUCAAGCUACAGACCAGACCAGGACUUAACAAAGCACAGCUUGUUGAAAUAAUUGGCUGCCAUUUUAGGACAAUUCCAGUGAAUGAAAAGGACACCUUAACAUAUUUCAUCUACUCAGUGAAGAAUGACAAGAACAAACCAGAUCUAAAGAUGGAUAGUGGGGUUCACUAGGUGGACAAAGUUGGGACUGAGACUCAGGCCGCAAAUCAAAAGACUGAGGGUUUUUGUUGAUAUGCAAAAGCUUUCUUUGUAACUUUUUCUCCCCAGAGAGUUUGUCUCUGUUUUAUUUUUCAUAACCUUGCUGAUUUGUUUGAAAACCAUCUCUUAUGAAACAAAUUUCCUCAGCAAAAGUAUUUUAAAUAAAUAUCACUGAUACUGUUGCUUGAGUGGGUGUGUCUAACUUUACCUAAUAGUUAAGCUUUCACUAAUUAUGUAAUGGUAUUAAAAAUAUUUUUCAAUUAAAGUGUGACAAGGUUAUAUUUAUGAAUGUACUUCUUAUGAUGCAAUGCCUUAAAAGAAAAAAAAAAAAAAGGCUGUAGCAGACUUGGCAGUAGAUUCUUCUUGCUAAGGUAAAAGGCUUUAAAUGACAGUUCCAGUUGUUAGCUGGAUAGAAAUGGCUGAAUAACAUUCUUUUUCCUCUUUGGAAACAGGAAUUGAUGACUCUUUUGAUUUGUUUAUCCUUCUUGUCAUUGCUGGGAUAUGUGCUUCUAAGCACUGAGGCCUUCCUGCUCCUAUAUUAAAAUGUAAAAAAAACCAAAAUGCAGCUCUCGAAUUUCAAAGCUAUAAGUACAGAUGAAAGACUGGUGCAGCUUACUGUGCGGAGAAAUCCUUCCACUUGUUAAGAAAUCUUUUAGCUGCUGACUAUUCCAUUCAUCUACAUAGUCUGCUGUGAAGAACUUACUUGGAAAAUGGAAGACGGAGUCUAUGCUGUGUCAGUAUGGUAUCUUCUAAUAGGCAUACUAUUUCUUUUUCAUGGUGUGCAUUAGCUUGUUCAAAAAACCAAAACACAACACCAAAACCAACCCAAAACUUAUGGUAACUUAUAAGAAAAAUAUCCAGUAAUAUUUUCCUUUUAAUUGAAUAUCUUAGUAAAGUCUGAUUUUGAAGGCUAUAUUAAGAAUAACUUCUUGUAGUGUUGUUUAACUAAGUUUAAAUAUGUGGUGUAUGGAAUAGGACUUAUUUCUGCUUUAAGCUGUGCACAUGGGUUGAAGAAAAGGCAGAGGGAAAAGAGUUCAUCUUAAGGCAGAGGAGGACACAGCUUCUGCUUUUUCAGUUAGUAGUUGUUGCAACUUUUAGAUCAGCUGUUUAAAAGCUUUUUCUUAAUUUGGGAAAACCAGGAAAGCAG